CGUACCUACGGGGGGCAGCAGUGGGGAAUAUUGCGCAAUGGGCGAAAGCCUGACGCAGCGACGCCGCGUGAGGGAUGAAGGUCUUCGGAUCGUAAACCUCUGUCAGCAGGGAAGAACGGUCACUGUGCUAAUCAGCAGUGAAUUGACGGUACCUGCAAAGGAAGCACCGGCUAAAUCCGUGCCAGCAGCCGCGGUAAUACGGAGGGUGCGAGCGUUAAUCGGAACUACUGGGCGUAAAGCGCUCGUAGGCGGUAUGUCAAGUCAAGGGUGAAAUCCCCGGGCUCAACGUGGGAACUGGCGUUGGA
rnacentral:rRNA from 1 species